rnacentral:tRNA from 1 species
AUUAAAAUAGCUUAAUUUAAAGCAUAACUUUGAAGAAGUUAAUAUAGAUGUUUAAUUCUUUUUAAUA